AUACGGAGGGUGCAAGCGUUAUUCGGAAUCACUGGGCGUAAAGGACGCGUAGGCGGGUUGGCAAGUCAGAUGUGAAAUCCUACAGCUUAACUGUAGAACUGCAUUUGAAACUGCUAACCUAGAGUAUGGGAGGGGGAGAUGGAAUUAGUGGUGUAGGGGUAAAGUCCGUAGAUAUCACUAGGAAUACCGAAAGCGAAGGCGAUCUCCUGGAACAUAACUGACGCUAAGGCGUGAAAGCGUGGGGAGCAAACAGAAUUAGAAACCCUAGUAGUCC
rnacentral:rRNA from 1 species